rnacentral:lncRNA from 1 species
GCUUCAGUCUGAGUAUACUCGAAAAGACCCUGAAUGUAUUACUCACUACCGAUACCCCAUUCCAUCAUGAUGUGCAAUAUAUAUUAUAUGAGUCAUGUAGUAAUGAUAAUAAAAGCACCAGAGAUUUACGGUUUCCUUGCGGAGUACUCACUACUCAGUUGUCUUGGACAGGUCUCCACAGGUCAAGUUGCCCUGAGAGGCUUCAUUUGACGUUUUGGCAGAUUCGAACCCCAUCGUUACUCCGCAAGAUGGGCCCUCGCAUUUUUUUUUUCUCCUUUUUUCUGUUUUCUUUUUUCUUUUUUCUUUUUUUUCCUUUUCUGAAAACUCUAUUGCCCGGGGUCUGAUCCACGGUCUAGAUCAUAACGCUCAGACAUUUUAAUUGCAAAUGCCAACCACGAAGACACGCCAAUCGGCCAGUACCCCAUACAUGGUCUCUCGUAUGGUUGGACAUCCCCUGUUUGACUACUUCUCGAAUGACAAAUACCACUCACUGGCUUAAAAAAGCAAUGAUAUAAUUAAUUUAUCUCUGCACCAUCGUUCAAAACGAGGCUCAAAUUGGAAAUCACACUCAUCAGCAGCGCACCGCAGGGAACGGUGUUUUGGAGUCUGGAAGCCAGUUCUGCUCGGAUUUCAUUCCGAUCCAUGUCUAGAAUCUCGUCGUAAGCGAACCAUGGCUCCGUCUCUGAAGACUGGAAAAUAUGAAGAUACGAUGAGCUUGAAUGUCUGGCCUGUUGCGCACGCACAGAUAGUUCGCCUAUUUCUUUAGAGAAAUGUGGUUUAUGAUGCAUACCUUACUUCACGUGCUUCGUUUGCUCAUGACUUCGAACCUUCUAAUUACCUACUUCCUAAUUCCGUAGUAGUAUGUACCUUGUGUGAGUUCCACCAUUAUGGUUCUAUGGACACUUGCAUUGAGUUGAAACCUUGUAACAAAAC